UCCGAGUUGACCCCGGCAGUCUCCUAUGAGUUCCCACCAUGAUGUGCUGGCAACAUAGAACGAGGGUUGCGCUCGUUGCGGGACUUAACCCAACAUCUCACGACACGAGCUGACGACAACCAUGCACCACCUGUACACCGACCUUGCGGGGCGACUAUCUCUAGCCGUUUCCGGUGUAUGUCAAGCCUUGGUAAGGUUCUUCGCGUUGCAUCGAAUUAAUCCGCAUGCUCCGCCGCUUGUGCGGGCCCCCGUCAAUUCCUUUGAGUUUUAGCCUUGCGGCCGUACUCCCCAGGCGGGGCGCUUAAUGCGUUAGCUGCGACACGGAAACCGUGGAAUGGUCCCCAUAUCUAGCGCCCAACGUUUACGGCGUGGACUAC
rnacentral:misc_RNA from 1 species